CCGCGAUAGUUUUUGGCGUAAGAUUUUAGAUCAUUUUAACGCCACCGUUGGUGGAAGUAACCGGACCGUGCAUCAAGUACGGUCUAAAUGGCCCCCGAUGAUGACGAAAAUAAACUUUUUCAACGGCCUAUACCAACAAGCGGAUCGCACACGAGGAAGCGGGUGUAAGGAUCUCGACGUGAUGAAAGUCGCUUUAAAGGAAUUUAAAGAGAGAUAUCCGAACGGUUUUCAACAUGUCGAGGCGUGGGAGGUCGUUCGAAAACACGACAAAUGGGCCCAAGUCCCAUUGUUGGGUGAGGAAGGGGAAGGUUCGGCACAAAAAAGAAAGCCCGUUGACGUGGACCCUUCCAUACCCGAUAUGAAUGAAGACCCCUCGCCACAAAGAACACAACGGCGAGACAAACGUCAAGCGACAUCGUCCGAGGGAAGCUCGGCCGAGUUGGCGGCACAAUUC
rnacentral:lncRNA from 1 species